GAUGAAGACGUAGCGAAAUGCGAUAAGUAAUGUGAAUUGCAGAAUUCAGUGAAUCAUCGAAUCUUUGAACGCACAUUGCGCCCGCCAGUAUUCUGGCGGGCAUGCCUGUUCGAGCGUCAUUUCAACCAUCAAGCCCCAGGCUUGUGUUGGAGCCCUGCGGCUGCCGCAGCCUCCCAAAACCAGUGGCGGGCUCGCUAUCACACCGAGUGCAGUAGUUUACUCUUCGCUCAGGGCGUGUGGCGGGUGCUAGCCGUAAAACCCCCAACUUCUCAAGGUUGACCUCGGAUCAGGUAGGAAUACCCGCUGAACUUAAGCAUAUCAAUAAGCGGAGGA
rnacentral:misc_RNA from 1 species